GACGAACGCUGGCGGCGUGCUUAACACAUGCAAGUCGAACGGAAAGGCCCUGCUUUUGUGGGGUGCUCGAGUGGCGAACGGGUGAGUAACACGUGAGUAACCUGCCCUUGACUUUGGGAUAACUUCAGGAAACUGGGGCUAAUACCGGAUAGGAGCUCCUGCUGCAUGGUGGGGGUUGGAAAGUUUCGGCGGUUGGGGAUGGACUCGCGGCUUAUCAGCUUGUUGGUGGGGUAGUGGCUUACCAAGGCUUUGACGGGUAGCCGGCCUGAGAGGGUGACCGGCCACAAUGGGACUGAGAUACGGGCCAGACUCCUACGGGAGGCAGCAGUGGGGAAUAUUGCACAAUGGGCGGAAGCCUGAUGCAGCAACGCCGCGUGCGGGAUGACGGCCUUCGGGUUGUAAACCGCUUUCGCCUGUGACGAAGCGUGAGUGACGGUAAUGGGUAAAGAAGCACCGGCUAACUACGUG
rnacentral:rRNA from 1 species